rnacentral:lncRNA from 10 species
AGAAAUUAUGGAAUGAUAGGAGUUGUUUCUCUUCCUGUUUUAUAGUUAAAGGACUGCUAAUGAUCAGCAAAUAGCCAAAGGCAGAGGAGUCAAUCCAAGAUCUCUUCGGUUCUUUCCUAAUCAGGUUCAUCUACGUUGCUGCAAACAACAGAAUCUCACUUUUUUAUGGAUGAAUAGUACUUCAUUGUAUGAUUUCAUGAAGAUUAAUUAGAUACGUCCAUAAAAACAGGACUUGGACUUAAAGUAUAAUAACAACAACAACAGGACUUGGAACAUAAUCUUCAGCAUGAUAUAAUGACAUGUUAUAAUUACGGAAGUGUUAAGUUCUUUCUUGAUUUGUCACCACAUCAAUCAACUAGGAAAAGAAAUGACGCUCUUGCCCUUAUGAGGCCUUUCAUAGCUUUUAUCUUCAUCUUUGGUAAGAAAGAAGCUACUAGACAAUUGCUAGAAGGGAUGGUCAGAGCAGCCCUCUGCAUAGACGCGAGUCUGACGAGUGCUAGGCCCUUUGUCCUUCAAACCUGGCAGAAUGUAGGAGCUGUAACUUCCACAUUUUGUUACCUGCAGUUAAUUGCAUUUAAUUGAAGUGGGGUAAGUUGAAUGUGAUGGCAGAAUUCCUCCCCAUGUGGUCCAGUUUGGAAGUGCUCACUACUUGCAGAUCCCCCCUUCAUCAAGUUCAGGAAGGGGAUUCACUUACUAAAACAGUUUCCUAACUGGUCUCCUGUUUCUCUCCUUGACCCAUCUGGUCUAUUCGCAAGCCAGCAACUGAAGUGACCCCUUCAGUAUGUGGGUCAGAUCCCAUCCCCCUCACUCCAUGUUCAAAACCCUCCAUGGCUCUCCCACCUAAUGCAGAGUAAAAGCCGAGGUCUUUCCAAUGGCCUGCAAAGCCCUGAAUGAUCUGGAUCCAGGUUGCAGACUGUUAACUUCUCAGAAAGACAGCAAGGGAGCUCUCUGGGUUCUUUUUAUGAGGGCACUAAUCCCAUUUAUAAGGGCUCCACCCUCAUCACCUGAUCACCUGCCAAAGGCCUCACCUCCUAAUACCAUCACAUUGAAAGUUAGGAUUUCAAUAUAUGAAUUUUGGGGGCACACAAAUGUUUAGUCCAUAACACAUUGCAACCCUUACCUGCAUUCCCAAUUAGUACUCCACCAGGUACUUACUAGCUUCCAGCAUCCUCUGUAAUUGUCUUAUUUAUUAUGUUUAUUGUUUGUAGUCUACAGCAAGAAUGUAAGCUGCAUUAAAAUAAGUACUUUCAUAAAUUUUGUUCACUGUUAUAUCCUGAGUGCUUGGAAGAGUGCCUUGUGCCUAGCCAGUAUAUAUAUGUAUCUAUACUAGCCAUGUAUAUAUAUGAUGAUAUGAUAAUAUAUACAUAUACAUAUGUAUGUACACACAGACAAAUAAAUGAAUAUAUGGAGAUAUAUA